rnacentral:rRNA from 1 species
CAGUCGAGCGAACGGACGAGAAGCUUGCUUCUCUGAUGUUAGCGGCGGACGGGUGAGUAACACGUGGAUAACCUACCUAUAAGACUGGGAUAACUUCGGGAAACCGGAGCUAAUACCGGAUAAUAUUUUGAACCGCAUGGUUCAAAAGUGAAAGACGGUCUUGCUGUCACUUAUAGAUGGAUCCGCGCUGCAUUAGCUAGUUGGUAAGGUAACGGCUUACCAAGGCAACGAUGCAUAGCCGACCUGAGAGGGUGAUCGGCCACACUGGAACUGAGACACGGUCCAGACUCCUACGGGAGGCAGCAGUAGGGAAUCUUCCGCAAUGGGCGAAAGCCUGACGGAGCAACGCCGCGUGAGUGAUGAAGGUCUUCGGAUCGUAAAACUCUGUUAUUAGGGAAGAACAUAUGUGUAAGUAACUGUGCACAUCUUGACGGUACCUAAUCAGAAAGCCACGGCUAACUACGUGCCAGCAGCCGCGGUAAUACGUAGGUGGCAAGCGUUAUCCGGAAUUAUUGGGCGUAAAGCGCGCGUAGGCGGUUUUUUAAGUCUGAUGUGAAAGCCCACGGCUCAACCGUGGAGGGUCAUUGGAAACUGGAAAACUUGAGUGCAGAAGAGGAAAGUGGAAUUCCAUGUGUAGCGGUGAAAUGCGCAGAGAUAUGGAGGAACACCAGUGGCGAAGGCGACUUUCUGGUCUGUAACUGACGCUGAUGUGCGAAAGCGUGGGGAUCAAACAGGAUUAGAUACCCUGGUAGUCCACGCCGUAAACGAUGAGUGCUAAGUGUUAGGGGGUUUCCGCCCCUUAGUGCUGCAGCUAACGCAUUAAGCACUCCGCCUGGGGAGUACGACCGCAAGGUUGAAACUCAAAGGAAUUGACGGGGACCCGCACAAGCGGUGGAGCAUGUGGUUUAAUUCGAAGCAACGCGAAGAACCUUACCAAAUCUUGACAUCCUUUGACAACUCUAGAGAUAGAGCCUUCCCCUUCGGGGGACAAAGUGACAGGUGGUGCAUGGUUGUCGUCAGCUCGUGUCGUGAGAUGUUGGGUUAAGUCCCGCAACGAGCGCAACCCUUAAGCUUAGUUGCCAUCAUUAAGUUGGGCACUCUAAGUUGACUGCCGGUGACAAACCGGAGGAAGGUGGGGAUGACGUCAAAUCAUCAUGCCCCUUAUGAUUUGGGCUACACACGUGCUACAAUGGACAAUACAAAGGGCAGCGAAACCGCGAGGUCAAGCAAAUCCCAUAAAGUUGUUCUCAGUUCGGAUUGUAGUCUGCAACUCGACUACAUGAAGCUGGAAUCGCUAGUAAUCGUAGAUCAGCAUGCUACGGUGAAUACGUUCCCGGGUCUUGUACACACCGCCCGUCACACCACGAGAGUUUGUAACACCCGAAGCCGGUGGAGUAACCUUUUAGGAGCUAGCCGUCGAAG